CAGCAGCCGCGGUAAAACGGAGGGGGCUAGCGUUGUUCGGAAUUACUGGGCGUAAAGCGCACGUAGGCGGCUUGGUAAGUUAGAGGUGAAAGCCCGGAGCUCAACUCCGGAAUUGCCUUUAAGACUGCCGAGCUAGUAGGUGAGAGAGGUAAGUGGAAUUCCGAGUGUAGAGGUGAAAUUCGUAGAUAUUCGGAAGAACACCAGUGGCGAAGGCGGCUUACUGGCUCAUUCUAGACGCUGAGGUGCGAAAGCGUGGGGAGCAAACAGGAUUAGAUACCCGGGUAGUCCCUGUCUCUUAUAC
rnacentral:rRNA from 1 species